rnacentral:rRNA from 1 species
UACGGAGGGAGCUAGCGUUGUUCGGAAAUACUGGGCGUAAAGCGCACGUAGGCGGCGCAGCAAGUCAGGGGUGAAAUCCCGGGGCUCAACCCCGGAACUGCCCUUGAAACUGCAGUGCUAGAAUUCUGGAGAGGCGAGUGGAAUUCCGAGUGUAGAGGUGAAAUUCGUAGAUAUUCGGAAGAACACCAGUGGCGAAGGCGACUCGCUGGACAGACAUUGACGCUGAGGUGCGAAAGCGUGG